AAGAGAGUGCAAGAGAACGUGAAAUCGAUGCAAUGGAAGCGGAUGAAGUCGCCGUAUCUAGCACGUAUUCAGUUGUCUGCCUUUUUAUAAUGGACUAAUUAGCAUUACGUCUUCUAGUCCUUUGUUGAUCGUUGAUGAUGCAUUUGCGUGUGGAGUGCAAUGGGACUUUGAGUGGCGUGGAGCGGAGCGUCGUCUAGAGGAUCGGUCUCGGCCGAAAACCUGGAGGAUGCCGAGAGCCAUUGCUGUUCUUGGUUAGUGUCCAUGGCUUACGACUCUGCCGUUGCUGUCUGGUGGGACUCGGAUUCAACGCAUGCGUUGGGCCCCCGACUUGCUUGAUGGUAGUGGUGGGAGUGACUUGGACUGUCCCGUUGUAUGGGCGAUGACUCACCCGACCCGUCUUGAAACACGGACCAAGGAGUUUAUAUCACACGCAAUCUAUUGGGCGUGAAACCCAAAAGAGUAAUGAAAGUGAACAACUGUUUCGGCAGUAACGUGAUUGUUGGCUUUUUUGGGCUGGCAGGCAACGUUGCCCCAUUCCAGGAACUUGUUCCGGGGUGGAGGUUGAGCGUGUGGAAUGAGACCCGAAAGAUGGUGAACUAUGCCUGAACAGGAUGAAGCCAGAGGAAACUCUGGUGGAAGUCCGAAGCGGUUCUGACUUGCAAAUCGAUCGUCUGAUUUUGGUAUAGGGGCG
rnacentral:rRNA from 1 species